GGGGAGAGAAAGGAGUGAGAGAACGGGGAGCAGGAAAACCACAGACAGAUAAAAAGGCUCUGCUGGAAGCGAAUGCAUGCUGCAGACGCCUAUGGGCUUCAAAUCAGCAAACAGCACUGGAAUGACGCACCCCUGGCUAAAAGGCAGAAGCGGAAGAAGAAAAGCAGAGAGGCUGUGAUGUAACUACAGCACUGGACUCAGCGCAGAUGGGAGCAGACGGACGGACGGCAGCGAGGAUGACAUCACUGUUACCCGUGGGAGCCUGGGCCUGUCAUUCUUGGUGUCACUUCCUGGGAGAGAAUAGAAGAGGAAGCCAGAGCGAGAGCCGACAACGGGCGCUCCCCUCACCUCCACAAGGAAGCCUUUUUCCCCCGAGAGCAUAAUGUGUGUCCGCUUGUGUCCCUCGCUCACUCCUGCAUUCAUCCCACAGAGGGCUGGUGCUGGUUCAGAAUUUGUGUAAGCCCUGAUUGUUUUCAUUUUCUUUGGGCUCAAGUCUGAGCCUUUUCCAACAAAUCCUUUGAAGAGCUUAUUAUUUUACAUUUCAACGGUAGUUAAAAUAAGUCACAGUGGUGACUUUAUGGGUACGGAUGCAGUAAGCUGUGCCUCUGCAGGCUUUAUUUUGCUGCCCUGGGUCAGCAGUGUUUGGGGAAAAGCUCCGUUUGGAGGGAUAAAAAAACGUGGAGGCCACAGUGACGUCACCUGAUGGUGUUGGACUCUGGGUCGGGGUGAGGCUCGAUCCCUAGCAUUUUGGCCACUGCCACACUUUGUUUCUAUGCUGGAGUUUUCCCAUAUUGGACAAAAGGGGCGAGUGAUACAUUAAAGGUAAUCCUAGCAAGGUUAGCAAGCUGCAUGUGUAGCUUGCAUGGGUCCAGUGGACGCACAUCAUUUCUAAUUAGUCCUUUCCCUGAAUGGUGUAAGCCUCACAUAUUUGUCAGGUGAUUCUGUUUAACUCCAAAAGGCUCCAACAGGAACAGUCCAGUUUGACUCCAGUCUGCACAGAGCCCUCAGUUAACCCCUCAACAUCCACUCGUGUCACCAGAUCAACGAUUAUUCGUAUUGCUGUUUGUUGAUAUUGUGUUACUGUUGUAAAAUGCAGUGACGUGGCUGAAACUACAGCGAGUCAUCAGAAAGAUCAAUGAGCUUCUCUUCCUGUUGGAGUGUUCACAGACAAGAUAAUGGCUGAAAUAAGUUAGUAAGCUCUAUUUAAAUGCCAGCUCGUCAUGAACUUUGAUUUUCUUUUUUAAUCAUGAGGCUUUGUGAUGAUUCAUGUCUGUGUUAAGGUGCUAGCGUAGCUGAUUCAGAGCUGCUAAUGAGUAGAUGUGUUGUUCUACUUGUUUGUCUUCAUCCAACUGAGCAACUCAAACGUAACCAGCUUAGUGCAUACACAGCAUCUUUGUACUAUCCAUCACAUCUACUGUGCAGGCAUACAAAGCAGACACACAUCCUGCUACCUGAUUUGUUUUACACAAAUCCUGAACUCAAAAUGAGCAGGACGCGCUGUGGUUUAGGCGCUGGCAGGCUCUGGUGAGUCUGUGUUUAAAGGCAAAGAAAGGAUGGAAAGAUGACUGCAAUGUAAAAAUGAAAUUAAAGAUGUCCAGGUUUCGGUCCCCGGGACAAGUCACAGCUUUGUUGGAUUGUUUUGUACCGCCGCUGUUUCAUGAAAUGUAUUCCUGGCUGCCCUACAGUGGAUUUGCUUCUGACCUUUGACCUCUCUAACCAACACAAGUGUAUCAAAGCUGAGCCCUCCCUUUGAGGACCCGCAUGGACGUUAUAGAUGUAAUGUCGCCCUCUUGUGUGUGAAUAUAAAAUUGCAGGAUUAAUAUACGAUGUCUUUACAAAACACUGUCUGGUGAAUUUCAGCACUUCUCAGUGUGAGAUCGUAACAUCGGAUGUGGGCAGCUGUUAGAUGGCUCCGCCCUCCAAAGCCUCCACCUCUCUGCAGCACCGACAGCGUAAAGACUUUGUAACCUGGAGGCUCCGAUCGUGGGACACACCUCUGAUCAUCUGACACCCAUGUUUCAAACACCUGGGAGGGCCGCUGGGACAAUGCAUGUACUGUUAGAUUUGUUGUCAUGACGACCUUGCUGGUUAUGUAAGCACUGGGCUCUGGUUCCCACAAACAGUGGUGCACGCAGGUCUUUGUGCUGUGACACUAGAAACCACACACACAGUCACAGUUUGUACAUUCCUCCAGCUGCUCACAUGUCACCCUGCAGCGACUGCAACGAGACAUUUAACCCUCAGAGAUGAUCCAAACCUUAACCCUGUGCUAUCAGCAUGUGUGCUUAAGGUGAGGGCUGUGGCCGACUCGGGGCUGAUACUUUGUUGCAGUUUAACAUCAAGAAUUUGGGUGGCACAGUUUCUUUCAGUAAUUCAGUAAAUUUGUUUCAGUUCCCACCAAAACUGAAGUAAGCUUGCUGGUUUUCUUGGAUUUUUGCUGAUUUCUUGAGCUUGGCCACAAUUUCUCUGGUUGGCUGUUAGUUUCACAACUCCUCCAGUCUGCAUGUUGAGAUGUCAUGUGUGCCACAGGCACAGUACUUUGAGUAAUAAGUGCUAUAGUGAUGCAGUUGGUUAAACUAGCAGGUUCCUCUCUGUAACCUUGAUUGAAUCCAAAGAUUUCGUGACCCUAAAGCAGACUCACAUUUACCAGCUUCUCUGUUGCUCAGGUGCUUCUUCACAUGCUCUGUCUCUCUGGCAACAGCCUGGAAAUGCUGCUGCUCUGGACCAACAACAAUAAAUGUGUGUGUAGAGGUACCCAUGUGUCCGUCUGUACUGAUGGAGCUGAUGUGCCACAUAGAUUUGGCUCUGUAAAGUUAAAUGACGUUGAGCAUACUCAUGUACAUAUCCAUCCAUUCACACUGGUUUUCCUCUCUUACGUCAUGUGGUUCUGUUUUUCUUCUUCCCCUCUGUGUCUGUGGAAGGUGGCAGGUCGUGAGCGUAGACUGACGUGGACUAGAGUGAGUGCUCGUCAUUAUGCUUGUGAUGUCUGAGAGAGCACAAACGCCGUUCACAGUAGCCUCUAUGCAUUCCUCCUGUGGCAGGCGUCCCUGUCUUAUGCUGUCAGCCUCACUUUUUAUGUGACGUCUGUUCUGUUUGAAUUCAUCUUCAUUGCUGGAAGCAAGUAUUCAGGUGCCAGCUGCUCAUGAUGCUGGACUGGCAUAGCAACAGCAGCAAAAAGAAGAGCUGUCACACAGUGCACAGAGCGCAGCAGGGCUGAGAUCACCGUGAUGAGCAGGUGUGUGUGUGUGUGUGUGUAUUAUAAUAGUGGUUUUUAGUAGGCUGGACUAACUGGUUUGUAUUUCCUUGCUGGAAUAAUAGCUGACCCUGGUUUGGCCUUUGGGAGCUAACUUGUGUUUAUCUGGAUGGACCUCGCAGGUGUGACACUGUCAUACCGCAGACUGUAUGCCGUGUCCACCAUGCAUGCAUGUCGAUGCAUGCAUGCAUGCAGUCACUCUCUCUCUCUUUCCUCUUUUCUCUCUUCUUCUCUCUCUGCAG
ensembl:lncRNA